UACGUAGGGUGCAAGCGUUGUCCGGAAUUAUUGGGCGUAAAGAGCUCGUAGGCGGUCUGUCGCGUCGGCUGUGAAAACUCGGGGCUCAACCCCGAGCCUGCAGCCGAUACGGGCAGACUAGAGUUCGGUAGGGGAGACUGGAAUUCCUGGUGUAGCGGUGAAAUGCGCAGAUAUCAGGAGGAACACCGGUGGCGAAGGCGGCAUCCUGGACCAUUACUGACGCUGAGGAGCGAAAGCCAGGGGAGCAAACGGG
rnacentral:rRNA from 1 species